UACGGAGGGUGCGAGCGUUGUCCGGAAUCACUGGGCGUAAAGGGCGCGUAGGCGGCCUGAUAAGUAGGGGGGUGAAAAUCCUGCGGCUUAACCGCAGGGCUGCCUUCUAAACUGUCAGGCUAGAGCACGGUAGAGGCAGAUGGAAUUCCCGGUGUAGCGGUGGAAUGCGUAGAGAUCGGGGAAGAACACCAGUGGCGAAAGGCGGGCUCACUGGGACUGGUAUUGACGCUGAGGUGCGAAAGCGUGGGGAGC
rnacentral:rRNA from 1 species